UUUGAGAAGCUUGCUGGAGGUAUCAGAAGUGCGAAUGCUGACAUGAGUAACGACAAUGGGUGUGAAAAACACCCACGCCGAAAGACCAAGGGUUCCUGCGCAACGUUAAUCGACGCAGGGUUAGUCGGUUCCUAAGGCGAGGCUGAAAAGCGUAGUCGAUGGGAAACAGGUUAAUAUUCCUGUACUUCUGGUUACUGCGAUGGAGGGACGGAGAAGGCUAGGCCAGCUUGGCGUUGGUUGUCCAAGUUUAAGGUGGUAGGCUGAAAUCUUAGGUAAAUCCGGGGUUUCAAGGCCGAGAGCUGAUGACGAGUCGUCUUUUAGAUGACGAAGUGGUUGAUGCCAUGCUUCCAAGAAAAGCUUCUAAGCUUCAGGUAACCAGGAACCGUACCCCAAACCGACACAGGUGGUCGGGUAGAGAAUACCAAGGCGCUUGAGAGAACUCGGGUGAAGGAACUAGGCAAAAUGGCACCGUAACUUCGGGAGAAGGUGCGCCGGCUAGGGUGAAGGAUUUACUCCGUAAGCUCUGGCUGGUCGAAGAUACCAGGCCGCUGCGACUGUUUAUUAAAAACACAGCACUCUGCAAACACGAAAGUGGACGUAUAGGGUGUGACGCCUCCCCGGUGCCGGAAGGUUAAUUGAUGGGGUUAGCGCAAGCGAAGCUCUUGAUCGAAGCCCCGGUAAACGGCGGCCGUAACUAUAACGGUCCUAAGGUAGCGAAAUUCCUUGUCGGGUAAGUUCCGACCUGCACGAAUGGCGUAACGAUGGCGGCGCUGUCUCCACCCGAGACUCAGUGAAAUUGAAAUCGCUGUGAAGAUGCAGUGUAUCCGCGGCUAGACGGAAAGACCCCGUGAACCUUUACUGUAGCUUUGCACUGGACUUUGAGCCUGCUUGUGUAGGAUAGGUGGGAGGCUUUGAAGCGUGGACGCCAGUUCGCGUGGAGCCAUCCUUGAAAUACCACCCUGGCAUGCUUGAGGUUCUAACUCUGGUCCGUAAUCCGGAUCGAGGACAGUGUAUGGUGGGCAGUUUGACUGGGGCGGUCUCCUCCUAAAGAGUAACGGAGGAGUACGAAGGUGCGCUCAGACCGGUCGGAAAUCGGUCGCAGAGUAUAAAGGCAAAAGCGCGCUUGACUGCGAGACAGACACGUCGAGCAGGUACGAAAGUAGGUCUUAGUGAUCCGGUGGUUCUGUAUGGAAGGGCCAUCGCUCAACGGAUAAAAGGUACUCCGGGGAUAACAGGCUGAUACCGCCCAAGAGUUCAUAUCGACGGCGGUGUUUGGCACCUCGAUGUCGGCUCAUCACAUCCUGGGGCUGAAGCCGGUCCCAAGGGUAUGGCUGUUCGCCAUUUAAAGUGGUACGCGAGCUGGGUUUAGAACGUCGUGAGACAGUUCGGUCCCUAUCUGCCGUGGACGUUUGAGAUUUGAGAGGGGCUGCUCCUAGUACGAGAGGACCGGAGUGGACGAACCUCUGGUGUUCCGGUUGUCACGCCAGUGGCAUUGCCGGGUAGCUAUGUUCGGAAAAGAUAACCGCUGAAAGCAUCUAAGCGGGAAACUUGCCUCAAGAUGAGAUCUCGCUGGGAACUUGAUUCCCCUGAAGGGCCGUCGAAGACUACGACGUUGAUAGGCUGGGUGUGUAAGCGUUGUGAGGCGUUGAGCUAACCAGUACUAAUUGCCCGUGAGGCUUGACCAA
rnacentral:rRNA from 1 species